rnacentral:rRNA from 1 species
AAGGUGGGGAGUGACGUCAAGUCAUCAUGGCCCUUACGGCCUGGGCUACACACGUGCUACAAUGGUCGGUACAAAGGGUUGCCAAGCCGCGAGGUGGAGCUAAUCCCAUAAAACCGAUCGUAGUCCGGAUCGCAGUCUGCAACUCGACUGCGUGAAGUCGGAAUCGCUAGUAAUCGUGAAUCAGAAUGUCACGGUGAAUACGUUCCCGGGCCUU